rnacentral:rRNA from 1 species
UACGGGGGGGGCAAGCGUUGUUCGGAAUUACUGGGCGUAAAGGGCUCGUAGGCGGCCAACUAAGUCAGACGUGAAAUCCCUCGGCUUAACCGGGGAACUGCAUCUGAUACUGGAUGGCUUGAGUUCGGGAGAGGGAUGCGGAAUUCCAGGUGUAGCGGUGAAAUGCGUAGAUAUCUGGAGGAACACCGGUGGCGAAGGCGAGUCCCUGGACAACUCCUGACACUGAGGCACGAAAGCUAGGGGAGCAAACAGG